UUCAGAGUUGGUGAACUCAAGGGGCUUCCAUAGCCUAGACAGCUCAUAGCAAGUUUCUCGGGUGAUUGCUGACAUCAUAAAUAAGAGUGCCAAUUGUUAAAUCAACAACGGGAGUCACUGGGUUCAUUCUCCCCACGUAGGAUCUCUGUCCUUAAUGUGUUUAACUAUGAAACUCAAAAACAACACUACUAGUUGAACAAUACCCUAUACCUGGUUCGGUUGUGAGUGCAGCCUGUUGAAAUCCCUGCUUAGUAUUUACUAAGUUGUUCUUCAGUAUAUGAAGUUUUCUUUGGCUUCUGAGUGGUGAAGACUGUAGAAGACAAAAGGAAACAUGGAGAAACCAGAUGAGCAUCUCUACGUGAAAUUCAGUUAUGUAGAAAACUACAGUUUCUUAUGUUUAUAAAGACCAAGAGCUACCAAAGAGAAAAACUGAAUAGAGAAACUACUGAACAAUAACAAGGAAUGUAAUAUAAUUCCCUGAAAGAUCAGGUGA